rnacentral:lncRNA from 1 species
UACCUUUGUAAUGGCUGUCAUCAUUGGCAACUGUUUUCCAUUAAGACGAUGCUUCUCGGCCCACUCGAGCCAGUCUGACAAUAGAGGUAUGAGGUGCAUAGCUCUCUCUGGUUCCAAUUGUAGAUUCUCAAAAUGAUAAAUAAUAGCGUCGGUGCAUGGCUCUGCGCCACCUGUAAAAGCUCUUAAACUUUGUGCGGCCCCCUUUUGUGAGAGGCGAAUAGCUUUUCUCCUUUGUUUGAGCUCCUCGGCGAAUUGUCUUAUCUCGAGUUCACGUUUCGUCGUUGGUACGUAAUGUUCGGGAAUUUGUUGCUGUUGUUGUUGUUGUUGUUGCUGCUGCUGCGACUGUUGCUGUUGUGAAUGGUGUUGGUGAUGCGAAUGCGGCGAUGGAGCAUGACGGUUGUAGUUGUGAGGUGGUGGAGGUUGCGGAGAAUGGUCUUGUGGAGUGUGGAUUUGAGUUUGGUGGUUGCUGAUUUGAUGCUGGAGUUGCUGCUGCAAUUGUUGUUGUUGAGAUUGGUUGUGAUGAGAGAUGAGAAGACUCGGUGAGGGCGACUGCUGAUCUGAGGGCGAGGGCGAUUGGGUUGGCGUGCUGCUGCUCUGUUGGAUGUCCUCCUGUUGGAUUUGCUGAAUAAUACUCGCCGCGACUGAGAUUGAGGCCAGGAGGACCUCCUGUUGCUUUGGGCUCAAUAGGGAGGCAAUUUCACCGAGCGACAGAUUGGCCAGGUGCGAGUCCAGGUCCAUCUUUGGGUGUUGUUUUCGUCGUGGGGGAUGUGAUUCUGGUAGGCGAGUUUGCAAUUCUGCACCACUUCGAGAGCUCGCACACACAGACACACACACACGCUGAGGUAGUUGGUUGUUGUUGCCUCUCGCACCUGUUUCUGUUUGUCAGAGUUUCUUGCCGUUCUGGUUCUGAUUCGGGUGUCUUGUUUGGGGGCCGCCUGGUUGGUGGGUUGCAGCUGAGGUUCUUCAGGUGGUUCUUAAGGAGGAGGUUUGGUUAAAAGAGGUGAGGUAGUUGGGGUUGAGGUAGAGAGCGUGUUGCGGCGGCGUGAGGUGAAUAGACUCUGUUGCGAUGGGGUCUGUCUCGCUUCCACAAUCGUUUGUUGUGUGCGAGUGGUGCGAGUGCG